rfam:Rhodobacter capsulatus SB 1003, complete genome.
CGGUCGGCAGUUCACCGAGGCGUCGCUGUCCCGCAAGGGAAGCUAAACCUGCCC